CGCUGGCGGCGCGUUUUAAGCAUGCAAGUCGAGGGGUAGAAAGUCUUCGGACUUUUGAGACCGGCGAACGGGUGAGUAACACGUAGAUAAUCUGUCUCUGGAUGGGGGAUAGCCCAUGGAAACAUGGGGUAAUACCGCAUAAGCUCUCUUUUUCAUAAGGAGGAGAGAGGAAAGGCGCUUAGGGGUCGUCCGGAGAGGAGUCUGCGGUUCAUUAGUUAGUUGGUGGGGUAAAGGCCUACCAAGGCGACGAUGAAUAGCCGGCCUGAGAGGGUGAACGGCCACACUGGGACUGAGACACGGCCCAGACUCCUACGGGAGGCAGCAGCUAAGAAUCUUCCGCAAUGGGCGAAAGCCUGACGGAGCGACGCCGCGUGAACGAAGAAGGCCUAACGGUUGUAAAGUUCUUUUCUUGGGGAGGAAUAAGCCUUGCAGGGAAUGGCAGGGUGAUGACGUUAACCGAGGAAAAAGCCCCGGCUAAUUACGUGCCAGCAGCCGCGGUAACACGUAAGGGGCGAGCGUUGUUCGGAAUUAUUGGGCGUAAAGGGCGCGUAGGCGGCAUAGCAAGUCAGGUGUGAAAGAUCUCAGCUCAACUGAGGAAACGCGCUUGAAACUGCUGUGCUGGAGUCUAGGAGGGGAAGCUGGUAUUCCUAGUGUAGGGGUGAAAUCUGUAGAUAUUAGGAAGAACACCGGUGGCGAAGGCGAGCUUCUGGCCAUAGACUGACGCUGAGGCGCGAAAGCGUGGGGAGCGAACAGGAUUAGAUACCCUGGUAGUCCACGCCGUAAACGAUGUGCACUGGGUGUCGGACCGUAAGGGUACGUAGCGAAGCUAACGCGAUA
rnacentral:rRNA from 1 species